CUGGCAGUAAACGAUGUAUGCUGGGUGUGGGCGUAGCGAUACGUCCGUGCCGAAGUUAACGCGAUAAGCAUACCGCCUGGGGAGUACGGUCGCAAGAUUGAAACUCAAAGGAAUUGACGG
rnacentral:rRNA from 1 species